rnacentral:tRNA from 1 species
GCCGGGGUGUUGGAACUGGCAGACAAUAUAGACUUAAAAUCUAUUGGCUCGUAAGGGCCGUGAGGGUUCAAAUCCCUCCCCCGGCACCA